rnacentral:rRNA from 1 species
GACGAACGCUGGCGGCGUGCUUAACACAUGCAAGUCGAACGGAAAGGCCCUGCUUUUGUGGGGUGCUCGAGUGGCGAACGGGUGAGUAACACGUGAGUAACCUGCCCUUGACUUUGGGAUAACUUCAGGAAACUGGGGCUAAUACCGGAUAGGAGCUCCUGCUGCAUGGUGGGGGUUGGAAAGUUUCGGCGGUUGGGGCUGGACUCGCGGCUUAUCAGCUUGUUGGUGGGGUAGUGGCUUACCAAGGCUUUGACGGGUAGCCGGCCUGAGAGGGUGACCGGCCACAUUGGGACUGAGAUACGGCCCAGACUACUACGGGAGGCAGCAGUGGGGAAUAUUGCACAAUGGGCGGAAGCCUGAUGCAGCAACGCCGCGUGCGGGAUAACGGCCUUCGGGUUGUAAACCGCUUUCGCCUGUGACGAAGCGUGAGUGACGGUAAUGGGUAAAGAAGCACCGGCUAACUACGUG